GGAAGGGUUCGAAGGCAUCGAGGAAAGGAAAAGCAUUCAAGGACUAGUUUCUUGACUUCGAUUCUUCGGUGGAGCAAAUGUGUCAUCGACUUCGACUUGUCCGCAACUUUAGCAAGUCUUCAGCAUAUCAGAAUUCAGGAUGAGCUAUUCAUUCAUGCACGUGUUGGAUUCUUUCGGUCAUGACAUGAUGUCCUAUACUUUCGGACACAUACCAUUUUAUUCAUUUAUUUUAGUGUCUUUGAUACUCUUAGACUUAGUAAUUAAAUAUUAGAUGUGCUUGUUGAGAGGACUUUCAGGUUUUGUGAAACGAUAGUUAAUAAA